CACAGUUCAAAUAUUACCUCUCAGUCUUAAGCGUGUCGCUGUCUGUGCGUUAUGGGCACAGUUUUUCGGUCACUCUCUUCAAUUCACAGCACAGCAAUUAGCUAUUUCCCUUGAUCCCUUCGUCUUUCUCCUUCCAUAUUCAAAUCUAUAUACUACUAGGGCGGUCAGCUUUGCCGGGUCCAAAAUGUGGCAAGUUUUUCUAGCAGCAGCAGCAGCAGCAGGAUCUGGGAUCCUAGCCAAGAAACUUAUUAUAAACACCAGUGUCGCUGAACCCAACAUUGAUUUCAAACCAGAUGACCAAAAAAAUCAUGUUCUCAACGACCAAGAAAGCUUCAACGAGUCGUUACUACUGCCUCAAGAUUCAAUUUUUUCUAGCAAUGAUGGUUUCCAAGAUGACUACAAUGAUAAUGCACAAUGUGAAGUGUUGGCUGAUGGAUCAAUCUUCAGGUUUUCAAGUACUCCUGGGCCUUCUUGCUCUGUGAUGGGGUCCAAAAAUUUGAGGAAAAAAUUGGGGUGUGGGUCCAGAAGGGUGAAGGAAAAUGCUGAGGGUCUCGGGAGAAAUGCUAAGGGAAAAGAGGGGAAGAAAUGUGAGGUUGUGGGUUGUGGGAAACAAGGGUGGGUAGUGGAAAAGAGAAGUGGUAAAAGAUUCUCUGUUUGUUUGAAGAAAAGGAGGACUAGCAAAAAUAUUACUGGAAAGUGCGAAUCUUGUGCUUCAAAAGGCAACUCAUUUUUCAACUGGGGCUUAAGCAUUGGUAUGAUGUAUAUGAUGUCGGCUGGGAAAGCUGAAAUUAGUAGGUUGAAUAACUCCAUGGAUGAAACUGCAAAACUUGUUAAAGAAUUGAAGGCUGAGCUUUCCAGGAGAAAAACCUUGCACAACCGGUAUAGUUCAAAUUUAAGAACAGAAGUUGAAACAAAUCAAAUUAACUGUAGGGGAAUGCUUGCUUAUGCAACUGCUACGACCUCAUGUUCUGAGAAGGCUGAUGCUGGUAAAGUAAUUGAUUCUCUUGUGGCUGAGGAAGGUGAAUGUUCUAGUAGUGUUCUUACAGAAGAACAGCCACCUGACUUGUCAGAAAUGGAUCAUCUGGAAGCCGAGUUUGAGUCUGAAUUGCAAAAACUUCCUUGGUGUUUCACGGAAGGUUCCAGAUUGAAUGAAAGAGCUGAUACAUCUGAGGCUCAUGUUUUGGCCAGAGAACUUCACCGAGCAGAUGACAAGAUUCACCAGAUCAGAGCUUGUCCAGAGUUCGAUGGAAUUUCACCAUCAGAGCUGGACCAGAAAUUAAGUCAUUUGCUCAUUGAACAGCAGGAAAGCCAAAUUGUGCAGCUAGAGUCCGAACUGCACCAAACACAUUCCAAGCUUUAUGAGAAAGAAGCAGAGCUGCAAGCACUCAAGGAUUGCGUGAGACGCCUUACUGAUUUUUCUCUGGGAAGUGCCUCAGAUGAAGAGACUGAGGUCCAAACGAAAGAUGACAAAACGAGACAGGGGGACCAAGAGAUGAAACCCGGACCGGAGUCGUCAGCAAAAUCAAUCGUGGGCAUGAAAAGAGCCAUGGACUUCGAGUAGUAUGAUAUGAUAGUUUCGCCAGAUGAAAUAUCUUCUUCAGGGGAGGGAGCAAGUGAACCAUCAUGAUCAUCCGAUCGUCGAGAGUUUUGAGAUCUGUGUCGGCCAUGGCAUUAAAUAUUUGGGUUCCUGGCCAUCUGGGUCAAGCUCUUUAUUCAUGGCAAGAAAGGAUUCUUGAAACCUUGGUUGACUUUUUUUGUGUUCUUGCCUCCUGUCUUGUCUGUGUUUUUUCUCCACUCAAGACACCAGUACUUCGAAGUUCAAAUUUGUAUUGCAUGUGCAUGCUGAAUCAUGAAACGGGCUGUUUUUGGGGUUGUCACUUGCACCUGUGGCCUGCACAUGUAAAUCUUGGUGGUUGCUUAAUUACAAAUGGCGUUGCUUGUGCCAAUGUGCAGCCAGGAGAGGCAGAAUGGGAAAAUGACCGGUCCUAGGGAGCCAUGUUUUGCUGUUGGAAAUUGGAACUUUUCCUCCUUAAACCACCGCCUAUUUUGUACUCUCUAGCUCUGACUCUCCUGCUCCAUGAUAAGAGAAAGCUGCAACAUGUUAUUUCUAAUUAUUUCAUAAGGGGUAAAUGCAGUACUAUGCUUCCUCUAUUUCAAUUUUUUAGUUCAA